GUCCUGCGCAGCCUGGCGGCUGAGCCUGGGACUCUGAACUGAAGGGACGAAGGAACAACGAGCAGAAAGGGCUGCCCUUCCCCACCAUCGGGAGAUAAAGCUAAAUUGAGGAGCUGUUCGCCUUCUAGAGAAUGACACAGGACGUACUUUGUCACUGACCGCACUCCGACCCCCACCCCUGGCUGGCCUCAGGCCACCUUAGCCUUUCUUGACGAGCUCUACCGAGUUGCAACAUCAUCCGAAGGAAUGAAGCUCUGACAUUGAAAAUGCGAACUACCUAGAGCUAACAGUUUUCAAGGUGUCCGGCAGGUGUCGCUGUGGACCUCUCAAAAAGCUUCUGAACUGGUCUGCGGUCCCCUGGGGCACCUGCGCGCAGUCUGAGACCUGCCCACCUAAUAACGGAGCGACGUGGACACGCCACACUAUCGGCCACUUCCGGAGCACGUCCGCAACUCUCACAUCUACGCUCUUGCGCAAGCUGUUUCCUCUACCUGGACACCUCCACCUGUUAACCUGUCCUGAAGAUCCUCCCGGGCCUCCUUCUGACCCCUUCUAUUGCCAUUAGCAACAGAAGCCUUCACUAGCCAGCCUUCCCUAACCUCCCUGGAGCAGGACCAGGAUACCCCCCGGACUGAGGGUUAGAAAUACAGGUUCCUGACUGCACCUUCAAAGGGUUUGAUUUUUAGUGGAUCCGGAGUGUGGCCCAAAUACGUAAGCCCUUAAAUAAAUAAAUAAACUUAAAAAAAAAAAAAAAGACACCACACGUAAGAUGAAGUGAUUUGGUGUGUGUACGUGUGUCGGUGUAAACCACGGCGAGCGGUUAUGGGAAGAUGGCCUCCAAAGAUGUAUCUGCAGUUGUCUCUAGAUAGUGGGAUUUCAGGUAAUUUUUACUCUCUUGCUUAUUCUUU